ACCGCAUGGUGGGUGUUGGAAAGAUUUAUCGGUUUUGGAUGGACUCGCGGCCUAUCAGCUUGUUGGUGAGGUAAUGGCUCACCAAGGCGACGACGGGUAGCCGGCCUGAGAGGGUGACCGGCCACACUGGGACUGAGACACGGCCCAGACUCCUACGGGAGGCAGCAGUGGGGAAUAUUGCACAAUGGGCGMAAGCCUGAUGCAGCGACGCCGCGUGAGGGAUGACGGCCUUCGGGUUGUAAACCUCUUUCAGUAGGGAAGAAGCGAAAGUGACGGUACCUGCAGAAGAAGCACCGGCUAACUACGUGCCAGCAGCCGCGGUAAUACGUAGGGUGCGAGCGUUAUCCGGAAUUAUUGGGCGUAAAGAGCUCGUAGGCGGUUUGUCGCGUCUGUCGUGAAAGUCCGGGGCUUAACCCCGGAUCUGCGGUGGGUACGGGCAGACUAGAGUGCAGUAGGGGAGACUGGAAUUCCUGGUGUAGCGGUGGAAUGCGCAGAUAUCAGGAGGAACACCGAUGGCGAAGGCAGGUCUCUGGGCUGUAACUGACGCUGAGGAGCGAAAGCAUGGGGAGCGAACAGGAUUAGAUACCCUGGUAGUCCAUGCCGUAAACGUUGGGCACUAGGUGUGGGGACCAUUCCACGGUUUCCGCGCCGCAGCUAACGCAUUAAGUGCCCCGCCUGGGGAGUACGGCCGCAAGGCUAAAACUCAAAGGAAUUGACGGGGGCCCGCACAAGCGGCGGAGCAUGCGGAUUAAUUCGAUGCAACGCGAAGAACCUUACCAAGGCUUGACAUGUUCUCGAUCGCCGUAGAGAUACGGUUUCCCCUUUGGGGCGGGUUCACAGGUGGUGCAUGGUUGUCGUCAGCUCGUGUCGUGAGAUGUUGGGUUAAGUCCCGCAACGAGCGCAACCCUCGUUCCAUGUUGCCAGCACGUAAUGGUGGGGACUCAUGGGAGACUGCCGGGGUCAACUCGGAGGAAGGUGAGGACGACGUCAAAUCAUCAUGCCCCUUAUGUCUUGGGCUUCACGCAUGCUACAAUGGCCGGUACAAUGGGUUGCGAUACUGU
rnacentral:rRNA from 1 species